rnacentral:lncRNA from 1 species
CAUUUCAAUAGGCAACAGGAGAAGGGGACAGAGCAAGCAGGAAUCUCAUGCCAUUGUAAAGUUUUUAGAUUUGAUUUGGGAUUUCUCAGUCUCCCCUGUGAGCAUUGCAAAAUAUUUCUGCCCAUUCUGGGUAUGAUUAAUCUAUCCAAUCCACAUGAAAAUUACCAUAUUGAGUGCUCCAAAAAUAUUCUGUGUUGAAGAAUCAGUUUAUAAGUUAAUUCCAUUGUAUAGAAUUAAUAAUAAUUAAUUCUACUCUCAAAGGCAACCCUAUGAUGUAGGUAUUAGUAUUUUCAUUUUAACAGAUGAAGAAUUUAAAGUUUGGAGAGCGGAUAAGCAACUUGCCAAAAAUCACAAAGCUGGGCCCCCAGUCAAAUCUAGUUUGGCAACCGCCAGAACCCAUGCUUUCAACCAUUCGCUACUGUCUCUUAUGACUACCAUGAACUUGGAAAUGGCACUGAAGAUAGAAUUCCAAAGAUGUCAGCACCUUGACAGAAUAUUCUUCCCUGGAACUCAGCCACCAAUCAGUGAAGAAGCCCAAACAGCUACAUGGAGAGGCUCACAUGGAAAAGAACCCAGGCCCUCGGCCAACAGCUUCAACUUAGCUCCCAUAUGGCAGCCAGAAUCAACUGCCAGCCACAUGUCUGAGGCCAUCUGGACCCUCAAGCCAUCCUAGCACCCCAGGCAACACCACAUGAAGCAGAAGGAUUGUCCUAUCCAACUAAAAUGGGAGAAAAAAAAAAUAAAAGCAAGGUAAGAAGGAAGGUGAGCAUUACAGUUUUAAAUAGAGUAUCCAGGGGAGACCUCAUGAGAAAGAUGAACGAGGGAGUGAGCCCUAUCAAUAUCUGGAGGAAGAGUGUAACAGGCAGAGGGAACAGCCAGUGCAAAAGGCCCUAAUCUAUGAGCACCUGGCAUGUUUGAGAUAAUCAGUGAAGCCAGUGUAGUUUCAAAAAGGUGAUCAAGAAGAGGAGUGGUCCAAGAGGUAACACAGGUUCAUAGAAGGUGGGGAUCUAGAGUG